GUAGGUGGCAAGCGUUGUCCGGAAUUAUUGGGCGUAAAGCGCGCGCAGGCGGUUCUUUAAGUCUGAUGUGAAAGCCCACGGCUCAACCGUGGAGGGUCAUUGGAAACUGGAGAACUUGAGUACAGAAGAGGAAAGCGGAAUUCCACGUGUAGCGGUGAAAUGCGUAGAGAUGUGGAGGAACACCAGUGGCGAAGGCGGCUUUCUGGUCUGUAACUGACGCUGAGGCGCGAAAGCGUGGGGGAGCAAACAGGAUUAGAUACCCUGGUAGUCCACGCCGUAAACGAUGAGUGCUAAGUGAUAGGGGGUUUCCGCCCCCCCCUUAGUGCUGCAGCUAACGCAUUAAGCACUCCGCCUGGGAGUACGGCCGCAAGGCUG
rnacentral:rRNA from 1 species